rnacentral:lncRNA from 1 species
UAAUGUAGCUACCAGUGACAAGAAAGGAGAGUUGAUUGAGUUAAAGAUUCAGAAAAACAAGGCAGAUGGAACAAGAAUUUGGCUGAAAUGAUUACAGUACAAAAAUACUCCACCCUAACAAGUAUGGGGCAAGGCCUGACACACAGUGUGGUAUAUGUGGAUUUGGCAUUAUGCUAUGUAAAUAGGCUAACUAGGCAUCUAAGGUGAGGCAAGAACCACAUCUACAUGCAGACACCCAAAGCCAAAAUGUUCAAACCAAGGUUAAUAAAUCCAAAGACCAUCAACAGUCAAAGCAUAAAGCAAGCUGAAAUGGACAAGUAGGCGGAAAGUCCAAAAAUACUAACAAGUAAGUCUGAAGGAAACAGCAGGUAAUCCUGUGCACAAGGUCCCAGAUGAAAU